GUUGUAUUUGGCCAGACGCUCCGACCUGCAGGGGGCACCGGUCUUAAUCUGAGAGAGAGACAGACAGGUGAAGAGAGAGAGGCAGGUGAUGAGAGAGAGAGACAGGUGAAGAGAGAGAGACAGGUGAUGAGAGAGAGAGAGAGAGAGAGACAGGUGAUGAGAGAGACAGGUGAUGAGAGAGACAGGUGAUGAGAGAGAGAGAGAGAGAGACAGGUGAUGAGAGAGAGAGAGAGGUGAAGAGAGACACAGGUUGUUAUACAGUUGUUUUCAUCCAUGUUCUGACCUGUCUCUCUGCCCGUCUGUGGACCUGACUGCAUGUCUGUCCUUUACCUGUGUGUGUGUGUGUGUGUGUGCGUGUGUGUGUGCGUGUGCAUGCGUGCGUGUACGUGUGCAUGUGUGCGUGCGUGUGUGUGU